CAGAGUGUGGCGCAGUUGGUAGCGUGCUCGGUUUGGGACCGAGUGGUCGCAGGUUCGAGUCCUGUCACUCUGA
rnacentral:tRNA from 1 species